CAUGUCCUUUUGUUUAUGAUUUAAGGUCUAACCUGCCCAGUGAUAUUAUUAAAUGGCCGCGGUAUUUUGACCGUGCGAAGGUAGCAUAAUAAUUAGCUUUUUGAUUGGGAGCUGGUAUGAAUGGUUGAACGAGAAGAUUUCUGUCUCUUUUUGAUUUAAAUUAGAAAUUAAUUUUUAAGUAAAAAAGCUUAAAUUUACAUGAAAGACGAGAAGACCCUAUAGAGUUUUAUAUUUAUUUAAUAGUUUUUAUUUAGGAAUUUAAAUAUAAUUAUUUAUUUAAAUAUUUGGUUGGGGUGACAAAAAGAUUAAAAUAACUCUUUUUAUAUAAAAACAUUAAUAUAUGAAUUAUUUGAUCCAAAAAUUUUGAUUGAAAGAUUAAAUUACCUUAGGGAUAACAGCGUUAUUUUUUUAGAGAGUUCAAAUCGAUAAAAGAAAUUGCGACCUCGAUGUUGGAUUAAAGUUAAUAUUAGGAGCAAAAGCUUAAUUAUUUGGUCUGUUCGACCAUUAAAACUUUACAUGAUCUGAGU
rnacentral:rRNA from 1 species